rnacentral:tRNA from 1 species
GCCGGGAUGGUCUAAUCGGUUAAGGCGUCGCCCCGUUAAAACAGGCGAAGGUUGCGGGUUCAAUCCCCGCUCCUGGCC